CGCGGCUGGGGAUGCCGUCUGGGCCUGCAGCCUUGCGAGGGUUAACAUGUCUUACUCACCUCGGCUGCAGUGAAGGAGAGACCGCAUGUUUUCGUUGCAGGCCGUGUCAGUGGCACUGUAUUGCCCUCAAAGCGGGCUAAAAAGUUAUUUAGUCUGCCUGGGAGCAAGACAUCCUGGUCCGUGACUGGGCUGGGUUUCUUCUUGUAGUCCGUGAUUGACUGUAGACCCUGCCACAUGCCUCUUGUGUCUGAGCCAUUGAAUUGAGAUUCCACUUUGUCUCUGUACUGACGCUUAGCUUGUUUAAUAGCCUUGCGGAGGGAAUAGCUGCAUUGUUUAUAUUCGGACAUGUUACCAGACACCUUGCCCUGAUUAAAAGCAGUGGUUCGCGCUUUCAGUUUCACGCGAAUGCUGCCAUCAAUCCACGGUUUCUGGUUUGGGAAUGUUUUUAUCGUUGCUAUGGGAACGACAUCUUCGACGCACGUUCUAAUGAACUCUCACACCGAAUCAGCGUAUUCGUCAAUAUUUCCAUCUGACGCAAUACGAAACAUGUCCCAGUCCACGUGAUGGAAGCAGUCUUGGAGUGUGGAGUCCGCUUGGUCGGACCAGCGUUGGACAGACCUCAGGGUGGGAGACUCUUGUUUUAGUAUCUGCCUGUAGGCAGGGAUCAGCAAAAUGGAGUCGUGGUCAGCUUUUCCGAAAGGGGGGCGGGGCGGGGCCUUAUAUGCGUCGCGGAAGUUAGAGUAACAAUGAUCCAAGGUUUUACCACCCCUGGUUGCGCAAUCGAUAUGCUGAUAAAAUUUGGGGAGUCUUGUUUUCAGAUUAGCUUUGUUAAAAUCCCCAGCUACAAUGAAUGUGGCCUCCGGAUAAAUGGUUUCCAGUUUGCAAAGAGUUAAAUAAAGUUCGUUCAGAGCCAUCGAUGUGUCUGCUUGGGGGGGGAUAUAUACGGCUGUGAUUAUAAUCGAAGAGAAUUCUCUUGGAAGAUAAUGCGGUCUACAUUUGAUUGUGAGGAAUUCUAAAUCAGGUGAACAGAAGGAUUUGAGUUCCUGUAUGUUUCCUUCAUCACACCAUGUCUCGUUAGUCAUGAGGCAUACGCCCCCGCCACUCUUCUUACCAGAAAGAUGUUUGUUUCUGUCCGCGCGAUGCGUGGAGAAACCCGUUGGCUGCACCGCAUCGGAUAGCGUCUUCCCAGUAAGCCAUGUUUCCGUGAAGCAGAGAACGUUGCAGUCUCUGAUGUCCCUCUGGAAUGCUACCCUUGCUCGGAUUUCGUCAACCUUGUUGUCAAGAGACUGGACUCCUGUUUGUAAGGCAGAACACAGGAUCCGCGUCGCGGAAAACAUAUUCUUGGUCGUACUGAUGGAGCCAUGAACAACGGUUUUUGACAGCUGUAAGUGCAGCUCGGACGCCCUCCAUCAUCCGAAUGUUGACUGAGCUCCAGCAGAGGUCUCCCCCUCCAUGAUCUCCCUGGCCGGAGGGGCUCCCGACACCUUCCCCUUCCAGUCCUGCUCCAUCCAGGUGAAGAAUGGGGACAGAAUGGUGACACGAUCACCUUCGACGAGACCAUGAUGAAGAGGGCUCUACAGUACUCUGCCUCCAGCGGGAAACACUGGGUGUGUAUGAAAUAACACCCAAUUCCCUAUAUGCUGCACUACUUUUGACCAGGAUAUUGUUUAUUAUGAUUUAUAAACUGGGUGGUUCGAGCUUUGAAUGCUGAUUGGCUGAAAGCCGUGGUAUAUUAGACCAUAUACCACGGGUAUGACAAAACAUUUAUUUUUGAUGUUCUGAUUACGUUGGUAACCAGUUUAUAAUAGUAAUAGGUCAUCUCGGGGGUUUAUACCUAAGAACAGCCCUUAGCCGUGGUAUAUUGGCCAUAUACCACACCCCCCUUAAGUAUUUUAGCCCACGAAAGGGCUAGUCUUCUAAAAGAUCCUGGAAGCUUCUUCAGAGCAUGAUAUUGUAACAACCUUAACCCAACACCUAGUGACCUCGUCAAGAGGUUCGGAUCUCUUGGCGUAACGGCUAAGGUGUUGGGUUGACAGUUACUGGUUCGUGUCCUGGUCAGGGCUACCCUCGUAUUGCUACAAUAUAGGAGAGUCAACAAGAACAUAGCCUCCAAAAUGUCCCCUUGACACAAACAGAGUAAUAUACAGUACAUGGCUAGCUCUAACACACAAUUCAUAUGGUCUGGAAUUGGCUAAGUUUACAAUGUAAAAUCAUUGGCCUGUUUAAACUGUUGACCUGUCACAGUGCUGUUCAACAUUGAAAAGGUUAGGGCAACAUGACACCUAUACUAGUCAAUGGCAGUGUUAGAAGGGAGGUUAUCUCUCUAAUGGCUCCUUAUCUAGCUUUAUUACUAUCUGUAUAAAUAGUGUCUCGUAUUGGUCUAUAGCUCUCUCAACCUGUGUGUGUGUGUGUGUGCGUGUGCGUGUGCGCGUGCACGUGCGUGUGCACGUGCGUGUGUGUGUGGUCUGCAUUGGUUCAAUCACAGCUGAUAAGAGAUGCCGGGACAAUAAAGCCAAGGCUGAGUCUCAAAUGGCAUCCUAUUAUGCAGCCCAGGAUCCAAUACACACAUCAAAUACUGAAUAUGUUAUUAAUCCAUACCUUGGCUGCUAUAGAAAUGUAAAAAAAGAUAAGAGAAUUGGGUGAGAUUUUGUAACUGUAGGUUAUUCUGAAUGGAAUGAAUCCUAACCUCCAAUUUCACGUCUUUCACUUCGCCUCUCAUUGACUUAAAUAAAAAUUCAACUAAACUUAGAAUUCACCCUUAUGAAUGGAAAGGUUAAAGUAACUGUCCCAGUGAAAAUCUGACUUUUGAAAGUUUAUAUUCUGUUAACUCAUACCCAAGCAAUGUUGUUGACUCUCGUCUUAUACUCGUAUUUGUGGCCAAAGCAUAAAUUGGAGAAAAAACACUUCAGACUGUUCAAAAAAUGCUUUCUAUUUCCUCAUAUAGGAUGAUGUCAUUCUCCUAAUAUUUUUCAUGACAGAUGCCCACACCAUUCUGAUGUUGGGGUACGUCCACACCAUUCCAACACAGAAAAGCUGCUUUCUAACAAACUUAAUUACAAUGUUUUUUGAAGGAAAACAAUUUCACUCAAUUUCACUCAUAUUGCAAUUCAUUAUUGGCGCCGGAUCUGGAGGUCGUGGGCUGGUGUGGUUACACGUGAUCUGGGGUUGUGAGGCCGGUUGGACAUACUGCCAAAUUCUCUAAAAUGACAUGGUAGCGGCGUAUGGUAGAGAAAUGAACAUUCAGUUUUCUGACAACGGCUCUGGUGCACAUUCCUGCAGUCAGUAUGCCAAUUGCACGCUCCUUCAAGCCUUGAAACAUUUGUGGCAUUGUGUUGUGUGACAAAACAGAACAUUUUAGAGUGACCUUUUAUUGUCCCCAGCACAAGGUGCACCUGUGUAAUGAUCAUGCUGUUUAAUCAACUUCUUGAUAUGCCACACCUGCCAGGUGGAUGGAUUAUCUUGGCAAAUGAGAAAUGCUCACUAACAGGGAUGUAAAUAAAUUUGUGCACAAAAUUUGAACAAAGUAAGCUUUUUGUGUGUAUGGAACAUUUCUUGGAUCUUUUAUUUCAGCUCAGGAAACAUGGGACCAACACUUUACAGACUGCUUUUAUAUUUGUGUUCAGUAUACUUUUGUCUAUGUUGAAGGGAAUGUUUUGAUUCUGGGUACGGGAUCAUUUUUCCCCCUUUUUUUGGUAGGUUUUUGAAAUGCUUGUCAAUCCUGGAGACGUUCUACUCCACGCAUCUACCUACUCUGGAACUCUCGCUGCAGUAAGAAGCACUUCUCUUUCUCUCACAAACACUCUCUCACUCUCUUUCUCUCUUUCUGUCCCCCUCCCACUCUCUCUCCCUCUCUUUCACCAUUCUUCCCUCCCUCCGGUGACCAGCACGGUAUGAUCCUGGGGGGUCUGAAGGAGGUGCUGUCCCGCUGGGACCUGGCAGAUGUCCACAAGCCACACAGCACCGUACCCAGGGUCCUCUACACCAUCCCCAAUGGAGGAAACCCCACCGGGGCCUCCUUGACCACAUUUACAUUUAAGUCAUUUAGCAGACGCUCUUAUCCAGAGCGACUUACAAAUUGGUGCAUUCACCUUAUGACAUCCAGUGGAACAGUAGUGCAUCUAAAUAUUUUAAGGGGGGGGGGGGGUGAGAGGGAUUACUUUAUCCUAUCCUAGGUAUUCCUUAAAGAGGUGGGGUUUCAGGUGUCUCCGGAAGGUGGUGAUUGACUCCGCUGU